CAGGUGGCCUCCAGGUGCAAAGUGGGAAGUGUGAGUCCUCAGUCUUGGGCUAUUCGGCCACGUGCCUGCCGGACAUGGGACGCUGGAGGGUCAGCAGCGUGGAGUCCUGGCCUUUUGCGUCCACGGGUGGGAAAUUGGCCAUUGCCACGGCGGGAACUGGGACUCAGGCUGCCCCCCGGCCGUUUCUCAUCCGUCCACCGGACUCGUGGGCGCUCGCACUGGCGCUGAUGUAGUUUCCUGACCUCUGACCCGUAUUGUCUCCAGAUUAAAGGUACGACAUUUGGAGGCCCCAGCGAGAAACGUCACCGGGAGAAACGUCACCGGGCGAGAGCCGGGCCCGCUGUGUGCUCCCCCGGAAGGACAGCCAGCUUGUAGGGGGGAGUGCCACCUGAAAAAAAAAUUUCCAGGUCCCCAAAGGGUGACCGUCUUCCGGAGGACAGCGGAUCGACUACCAUGUGGGUGCCCACAAAAAUUCCACCUCUGAGUCCUCAACUGCUGACCCCGGGGUCAGUAGACACGGGGUUUCACCAUGUUGGCCAGGCCGGUCUUGAACUUGUGACGUCAGGUGAUGCACCCGCCUUGGCCUCCCAAAGUGCUGGGAUUACAGGUCCAGAUUUUGAACAAAUCUCGCUAGAGAUUGAACAGAGCUGCGCCUGGAUCCCGCCACAGUGAGGAGACCUGAAGACCAGAGAAAACACAGCAAGCCCCUGGAUCCUCCUGGAAUCCCCGAUCCCUCUUGCUCCCUGGCAGAGUUUUCUAGUCCCUCUUACUUGAAGCAUGUCUUUCAGAGCCCGGCACCACCCAUCUUGAGUAUCUGGUGGAUUUUCACAUCUCAAGCCAGCUAAGAGUAUGGGAAAUAGGACUCGUUAAAGCACAGAUAUCACACAAGUGAUUCAGAUUCACGAGGGUAAUCCAGAUGAAGAUACCCCAUCAGCCUGAGUCUCUUAAAGGCCUUUAUACACAUAUGUCUACACAUAGGGAUUUGGAUGAUCUCGGGAUCCCACAUCCUCGCUGUCCCCUGUCCCCCCGCAACAUCCCCCACCAAUACCUUUCUGAAGUUUUCUAGUCCCUCCUUUUUGUUUGUGCUCCUUAAAGCCCAGCCCCAUGCCUGACUUUGGUUCCCAGUGAGCAUUGUACAUUUGUGGAUAUUAAAUCUUUGGCAAAGUCAUUUACCUGGGCUGGA
rnacentral:lncRNA from 1 species